rnacentral:rRNA from 1 species
AGUGAACGCUGGCGGUAGGCCUAACACAUGCAAGUCGAACGGCAGCACAGUAAGAGCUUGCUCUUACGGGUGGCGAGUGGCGGACGGGUGAGGAAUACAUCGGAAUCUACUUUUUCGUGGGGGAUAACGUAGGGAAACUUACGCUAAUACCGCAUACGACCUACGGGUGAAAGCAGGGGAUCUUCGGACCUUGCGCGAUUGAAUGAGCCGAUGUCGGAUUAGCUAGUUGGCGGGGUAAAGGCCCACCAAGGCGACGAUCCGUAGCUGGUCUGAGAGGAUGAUCAGCCACACUGGAACUGAAACACGGUCCAGACUCCUACGGGAGGCAGCAGUGGGGAAUAUUGGACAAUGGGGGCAAGCCUGAUCCAGCCAUACCGCGUGGGUGAAGAAGGCCUUCGGGUUGUAAAGCCCUUUUGUUGGGAAAGAAAAGCAGCAGGUUAAUACCCCGCUGUUCUGACGGUACCCAAAGAAUAAGCACCGGCUAACUUCGUG